rnacentral:rRNA from 1 species
UACGGGGGGGGCAAGCGUUGUUCGGAAUUACUGGGCGUAAAGGGCUCGUAGGUGGCCAACUAAGUCAGACGUGAAAUCCCCAGGCUCAACUUGGGAACUGCGUCCGAUACUGGUGGGCUCGAAUCCGGGAGAGGGAUGUGGAAUUCCAGGUGUAGCGGUGAAAUGCGUAGAUAUCGGGAGGAACACCAGUGGCGAAAGCGGCGCUCUGGGCCUAAACUGACGCUGAGGGGCGAAAGCGUGGGGAGCGAACGGG